GCACUGCUGAGGUGUCCCAGAGUAGGACGAAAUGGCCGUCCAGUGC
rnacentral:hammerhead_ribozyme from 1 species